GUGCUCACUUCAGCAGCACAUAUACUAAAAUUGGAACGAUACAGAGAAGAUUAGCAUGGCCCCUGCUCAAGGAUGAUAUACAAAUUUGUGAAAUAAAGUCAACAGAA
ensembl:snRNA U6 U6 spliceosomal RNA